AGCUCAUUUAGAGACGUUUCACUUCUGAUUCAAAAUGUCAAAUGUUCAACAUGUGCCAGUUGGCAACAUGGCCGUAUGGGAACCGGCUGUACAUUUGUCCGACAGCCCGGAAAGAUUUCCUGUUAAAUAAUGGCCAGGGAUAGUGCGCCAAAGCCUUCUUCAUUCACUCACGUAGGAUAAGACAAUAACACAGUGUAAUCCUUGCAAUAUUUAAACCGUACGGCACGAUUUUGUGAUUAAACUAGAGGGCGUGCUACAUCACUAGUGGAAGUGACUGAAGGCGAGGCGCAAACACAGCAAGGGAGGACCCAUGUUACUUUAAUGAGAUAUGCUGACUAAAGAAGAGGAUAAGUGUACAAGCUGGCAACAGCGUUUGGGAUAAACACACACAAGAUGGCCCACAUGGUCAUGAAAAAGGCCUCUAGAUUGUGAAAGAAUAUACUGCACGAAUGACUUCAGAUAACAAUCUUUUUUUAAUUGUUUAAUUAAAAUUCCACAGAAGUCGAACCAGAAAUCAAAAUGGAUGAGCACGAUCUGGACAAAUCACUCUGGAGUAUGACAAAUUUUACCAACUUGGAGGCACCGGUGUAUCCGGACAACCCAGAGCCCACAAAUGUCAAAGUGCUGAUUGUGGGAUGUUGUCUCUGUGCUGCCACGGUGCUGUUUAAUCUACUGCUGGCUGCGUCGCUGAUUGCUGGGAAGAAUUAUAACACCUUCACCGUGUGCGUGUUUCACAUGGUGGCGCUGGACGUAGCUGUAGGAGCGUGCGUGUUUCCCAUAAGCGUCUCCAACGAGUACCGUAACAGUUUCUGGCACUACAGUGACAUCGUCUGCGACUUCUGGGUGACUCUAGACUAUUUCCUGCCCAUUCUGAUCUUUGUUACGUGCUCUGUGAUUCAUGUGGAACGCCUUCUUCAGCUCUGCCGCCCCACGUAUCGUCUAUGGCGGGAAAUUUGGUCCUGGAAACAUUUCUUGCUCAUCUGGGUUCCGUGGGGCUGCUGUCUGGUGAUCGGCGUGCCUCUAUACGUCGUAGGGACUCAGCAAAAUGAAGAUCCCAUAAGUGCUUCGGAAACCAGGGUCUGUUCCACCCAGUGGCAGCAAUCUAUCUAUCUGAUCUUCACUGCGGUCUUUGUACUUCCUGCCUUUGUUAAUCGUCGUCGUCACUCUCUUCGCUGCUGUGGGCUGCUCGUUUCGCGUCGCGUGUAGAGGCAACGAAGGAGACGCCCAGGGCGGUACCGUAUCGCCAGCAAUAGCAUUGGUCCUCGUCACGAUGUCUAUGAUCUUGAUGAUGCUGCCAAUCGUCCUCAUCGCCUUCUUAUCCAUGGUGCUGCCGUAUUCAAGGAUCGAUGAAAUCAGUCCGUUGGUUUACCUCACUUUAUACUGGAUCAGCUUCAGCAGCUCCGCUGUAAGGCCUCUCUGUUGGUUGGUGGAUCCCGAAAUCCGUUUGGGCUAUGCAGCGUUAUUCUGCAAGUGUUGCUGUAGGAAGUCCCAAAGUGUGCCCGUCCAUGGGGCUAGUUUAAAUAAGGCAUGAUACAUUGUGUCCCACUUUUACACAUUUUAAUUUCCCAAAAGAGUAAAAGCCGCGUUAUGGCUAGAUAAGCACAUCGAGCAAAGCACAAAUUGUAAAUCUUUCUGGGCUCCAAGCAAAGAGAAGGUAGCUAGGUGGACUUUCCAACUUUCCAGCAGGUUCUUACACUGCUAAGCAUAAAAAUUAAGGAGCUUGAUUCCACUAAUGUGUAUGUUGACAUAACAUUUUUUAUGUGUUGUCAGUUAGUUCAACUCCAAGGGUCUACAAACCCGCUUAAAUUAAAUUUUAAAAUCAGGUUUAAGUCAAAAGGUCGCCACAAUACGUGUGUAAUAUUGCAUUGCAGCAAUGGCGACACACCGUAGUAUUUCAUUCCACACUUGCUUCUACCUCAUUCAAUAUGAAAGACAUUUUCAUACAGGAAGACGACUUACUCUCAUAAUAUGAAUAAUGCUGAAACAAAAUACAUUUUAGCCGUGUUCCUGCUUGUUUUAUUGCAACACAAUUGAUUUACCUUACAUCCAAUUCCAAUGACAUUCACCCUCCUUGCAGAAUAUAUGUAUAUAUCUCGAGAAAUGUCCUGUCAGUAUACGAAUAAAUGAAUACAGGUUCUGACUGGGUCAGUCAUUAUAAGGAA